GUGCAACUCAACGAAGAAUCUUAUAAUUUUAAAGUACAAACAACCUUACCAAACCUUAGUGUCAUGCACCUGAUGGAAGGUCUAAGAUAAUGAGUCUCUGAAUCAGUAACAGAAAAUGUAACAACUUAAAUAAUGGAACAGAAGGAUAGGUUUCAUUCACCCAACGAAUUAACCCAGCUGGCUACUACGUCCUAUAGAAGAAAAUGGAACAACAUAAAGUGCUAUCUCAUCAAACCCAUCCUAGCACAAGGGACUGCUUCUCAGGAGAAAGGAAGCAGCAGGCUUAACGUAAGUAUAACCCUGAAAAGGGUCCGAAUUAUCCUUUGGACUCGAAAUUGGAGAAUCAACCAGUGACAUAUCUGUCCAGCACUUGUCGAAAUUUGCAAUGCAGUGUGUUCCAGCAAUUUCAGGACGGAAACUUGGCCGCAUCUCUCUUGCCUCCAACUUCUUCCAGUUGAUUGGCUUGAACCAUUUAUGGUCCCUGAUUUCAUCACUUCCCUUCAGCCCACUGCCAAGCCUUUUAGUUGGGUCCUUUUGCAGCAGCCCUUUAAGAAGGGAAUGUGCUUCACUGGACAAAAAGGCUGGCAUCUUGAGUUUGUCCUUAACUAUCUUCUGCUGAAUCUUUUGCCUAUUUCCAGUGAAAGGAGGCUUCCCCGUGAGCAUCUCAAACAACAAAAUUCCUACACUCCACCAAUCUGCAGCCUUA
rnacentral:misc_RNA from 1 species